ACGGAACAGCAGAACAGCUGCUACAUGGCAGCCUGUUAUGUCCACAUCCUGACUUUAUGUUGGAAAAACCUGGGAAGGGGGCAUUGCUGCCCCUGUUUUUACAGAUGAGGAAACUAAGGUGCAGAAGAGAAGCUUCUUGGCCAGGGUCAUCACACUGCAAGUGAGUAGCUUUGAAAUUGGUCCACCUGAUGCCAAAGCCUCCUCCACGAAGCCUCACAGACCUGCCGCUCAGACUGCCGCUGCUGAGUCCUGUACACCUGGGAAUGUGUUUUGAUGUGCCCUCUAGAAGGCCACCCACUGUGACAGGACCUGCUAUUUAGUGACAUCCUCGGCAGAGCCCAGUGAGGGGCAGGGCUGCAGGUGUGUGGCAAAUACUGGUGAAGAAUGAAGAGGGCUACAGCUUGAACUGAAGAACAGGGAAUGCAAAAUCACCCACAGUGAGGGCCUAACACUGUGCUCAGGUCCCAAGCCAGAGUUGGACUCCCCUCCAGCCACGCCCUGGCUAGGGCAGGACAGAGCUGUGUGGGCCGUUCAUGGGUAACACUGACAUUGCUUUUCUGUUGAUGUGGCCCACGUCUGCGUUGGCAGCUUUGACAACCAGAUCCUGCUGUGAAGUCUCACUUAGCUUGUUGUCAAAUUAAACUCUUAAAAUCUCAACAGCUGUCAAACCAUGUCUCCCUACUCCCACCCCCAGGCCCAGUCCUUGAGUGAUCAACCCUACAAGUCCACAUGAACUCAUCUCCUUCACUUCAUCUGGUUUGCUGGGGCUGUGGGCUUAGUCCUCCAACCAGCUCCAAAGUCUUCCCAGGUAACAAUGUCCUUGAGGCUUCCUGAAGGCUGGGAUUUCUGAUGUUUCUUUUUCUCUGCUUUUUUCCCCAUCUAUAUCCCUUGCCUCAUCAUAGCCUACUUUCCCAGAUUUGGUGGCUGGAAAGAUGUGGCUGGGAGCAAAGGCUGCUCACUCAGCAUCUAUGGGAUGCCUUUACUUACCAAACCAUGUCCCCACCCAUGGACAGAGUCCCCAAGUACUCAGGAGGAGCUUCCAACUCCCCCGAGCAACAAAGUGCUGAAGGAGCUCUGGCUUGAAGAGGAGCAAGGGGGGAGCUGGUGGGGGGAUCCUCAACCACCCCCAGCACUCCCUGGAUUUGGCCCAAGGGCUGACAUCCUCGAUGAAGAAAAGCCUCAGUAUUCUGUAAAGUCCAGAGUGUGCACAGGCCAGAGAACUGCAGUGUAGUGGGGCUGCCCAGGUCUUUACCCCAGGCCACUGGGCUCCUGGCUGGGGCAUAACCUUCCCAGGGCAGCCAGAGCCAGCUCCUCCCCAGACCCCCUCCCAGUACUGCCCAUCUGGCCCAUGCCUGCCUGAUGUGAGUGCAGGUGCCCUUACAGUGCUGAGAGGAGGGGAACAGUGAGUGGGCCAGGGUGGCCACAUCAAAGGUACCUAGGCUACCUCAGUGUCUUCACUAAGGCCACCAGAGUCUCACUCAGCCCGAGCUUUACAUGGAAGGCCCAGCAGAACUCCCUAACCCUGGUCCAGACCAGAGGGGACCUGCUCCCUGAAGCCACCUGACUCCCCUGGCCCGCUGAGAUCUCAUCUCCCCUGAGCUAUCCUGUCUUCCGGACCUCAGCCCCUCUACGUUCCUGCUUACUGCUGUGUGCACCAUGCUGUCUACACCUUGCAAUUCCCGUCACCUGCUGAAGCAUCCUGAGACCAGAGUCGGCCUGAGCCACACCUGCUACAGUGCCUGGCACAAACAAGGGCUCAAAAUGCACAACUAGGACUGUCACCCACCCAAACAAGGGACACACAGUGCCCAACCACUGAAGACUGAACAAGAAGCAAGGACUACCCAGGAUACUAAGGAAGACAGGUGUGAGAGGGCACAGCAGGGGACCCAAGACCCAGAGCUGCCUUCUAGCCAGCAGUGCCUGUGCAUCCUCCCGGGCCUGAAACUCCUGCCCGCCCCAUGCUGGCCCCAGGAUCUGCACGCACUCCCGCAGUGUGUUGAUGUCCUCGGUUUCCUUUAUGAAGGCGUCCCACUUCUCUAUCAAAACACACAGGAGGCUCAAGCCAUCAACACUGAAGGAAACCAGCUGCCACACUGUGAGGACGCUCAAGCAGCCCCGUAAAGGACAGUGAGGAACUGAGGCCUCCUGUCAAGGCCACGCAAGUGAGCUUGGGAGCAGUCUCUCUGGCUCCAGUGAAGCCUUCAAACAACGACAGGCCCAGCUGACAUCUUGACUACAAACUCACGAGAGACCCUGAGCCAGAGCUGCCUGGAUCAGCUGCUCCCAAAUUCCCAACCACCUAUACUGAGGUAGUAAAUCCUUGUUGUUUUAAGCUACAUUUGGGAGUAAUUUAUCAUACAGCAGUAGAUAACUAUUACACCCUGGUUUUACUCACAGCCCCUUGAGCAGAGCUGUUCCUCCUUUUUCUCACAAAGACCCGGAAGGGGGUCAGACAUAGUCCUGGCACUCAGGGUGAGAGUGCAGGCAAGGACGAAUUUCCAUUUCAGUGAGCAACACCUUCAACCCCAGCUCCUACUCCAGGCAGGGUGCUGCCACAGGCACUG